rnacentral:rRNA from 1 species
CCGGCGAGUGGCGAACGGGUGAGUAAAGCGUCGGAACGUACCGAGUAAUGGGGGAUAACUGUCCGAAAGGACAGCUAAUACCGCAUACGCUCUGAGGAGGAAAGCGGGGGACCUUCGGGCCUCGCGUUAUUCGAGCGGCCGACGUCUGAUUAGCUAGUUGGUGAGGUAAAGGCUCACCAAGGCGACGAUCAGUAGCGGGUCCGAGAGGAUGAUCCGCCACACUGGGACUGAGACACGGCCCAG